AGUGAACGCUGGCGGUAGGCCUAACACAUGCAAGUCGAACGGCAGCACAGGAGAGCUUGCUCUCUGGGUGGCGAGUGGCGGACGGGUGAGGAAUACAUCGGAAUCUACUUUUUCGUGGGGGAUAACGUAGGGAAACUUACGCUAAUACCGCAUACGACCUACGGGUGAAAGCAGGGGCCCUUCGGGCCUUGCGCGAUUGAAUGAGCCGAUGUCGGAUUAGCUAGUUGGCGGGGUAAAGGCCCACCAAGGCGACGAUCCGUAGCUGGUCUGAGAGGAUGAGCAGCCACACUGGAACUGAGACACGGUCCAGACUCCUACGGGAGGCAGCAGUGGGGAAUAUUGGACAAUGGGCGCAAGCCUGAUCCAGCCAUACCGCGUGGGUGAAGAAUGCCUUCGGGUUGUAAAGCCCUUUUGUUGGGAAAGAAAUCCAGCUGGCUAAUACCCGGUUGGGAUGACGGUACCCAAAGAAUAAGCACCGGCUAACCUCGUGCCAGCCGCCGCGUAA
rnacentral:rRNA from 1 species